rnacentral:rRNA from 1 species
UACAGAGGGGGCAAGCGUUGUUCGGAAUUACUGGGCGUAAAGGGCGCGUAGGCGGCCGCCUAAGUCAGACGUGAAAUCCCUCGGCUCAACCGGGGAACUGCGUCUGAUACUGGGUGGCUUGAAUCCGGGAGAGGGAUGCGGAAUUCCAGGUGUAGCGGUGAAAUGCGUAGAUAUCUGGAGGAACACCGGUGGCGAAGGCGGCAUCCUGGACCGGCAUUGACGCUGAGGAGCGAAAGCCAGGGGAGCAAACGGG